rnacentral:rRNA from 1 species
UAUUGGACAAUGGGCGAAAGCCUGAUCCAGCCAUGCCGCGUGUGUGAAGAAGGUCUUCGGAUUGUAAAGCACUUUAAGUUGGGAGGAAGGGCUUUAGGUUAGUCCCCUGAAGUUUUGACGUUACCAACAGAAUAAGCACCGGCUAACUCUGUGCCAGCAGCCGCGGUAAUACGAAGGGUUCAAGCGUUAAUCGGAAUUACUGGCGUAAAGCGCGCGUAGGUGGUUUGUUAAGUUGGAAGUGAAAGCCCCGGGCUCAACCUGGGAACUGCUUUCAAAAAUGGCAAGCUAGAGUAUGGCAGAGGGUGGUGGAAUUUCCUGUGUAGCGGUGAAAUGCGUAGAUAUAGGAAGGAACACCAGUGGCGAAGGCGACUACCUGGACUGAUACUGACACUGAGGUGCGAAAGCGUGGGGAGCAAAC